rnacentral:tRNA from 1 species
GCGGAAGUGGCGGAAUUGGUAGACGCACCAGAUUUAGGUUCUGGCGCCGCAAGGUGUGAGAGUUCAAAUCUCUCCUUCCGCACCA